UCUCUCCUGGCUUAUGGUGCUCCAUUUUCUCUCUCCUCACGAGUUCCCUCCCAGAAGCUCCUUUGUGAUUUCUCCUCACCACCACCGUCUUUCUCACUUGUUGCAACCACCGCGCCGCCACCAUCUCCACGCUUCCAUCUCUACGCCUUCUCUUAUUGUUGUCUCCCGCCUGCUGCGAGCUUGCGACCACCGCGCCGCCACCUUUUACAUGCUGCCACCAUCUACGCGUCGCCUCCUUGUUGCAAUUGGCAUGAGGGGCAUGUAAUUGGUAACUCUGUAACCCCUCGCAGCACCCAUUUGGAAUUUGACAUUUCUGGCACAGGACUUAAGGGAUCAUAUUGGUGACUACUGUGAAAAUCUUGUUGAGACUGUGGAGGAAGCUGAAAUGUUACUGCCUUACUGGGCUGGAAACCUGAUACUUACUUCUCUAUCCAUACUGAUAAUGAAGAUGGUACUCCUGUUGCUGGAACCUCACUACCACCGCCAUUCCCACCUUGUACUAUAAGGCAACUCUCACUCGUUAUGCAGAUCUAUUGAGCUCCCCUAAAAAGUCUGUUUUGCUAGCAUUAGCGGCUCAAAAAUGAAGCCGAACGGCUGAGAUAGCUUGCAUCCCCCGCUGGAAAGGACGAAUAUUCCUAGUGGGUAGUUGCGAGUCAGAGGAGCCUCCUUGAGGUUAUGGCUGAGUUCCCUUCAGCAAAACCAUCAGUCGGAGUUUUCUUUGCAGUAGUUGCACCACAUUUGCAGCCAAGAUUCUACUCCAUCUCAUCCUCCCCAAGGGUGGGGAUGGUUUGCUGAAUCUAGCUCGUAAAGUCGUAAUGUAGUCAUAAGGUUUCAGUCCUCAUGUGAGGUCAUGAGUUUAAACCCUUGUAUCUUUAUAUCAAGGCAUAAUUUGUUGUUGAAGUUCAAGCAUUAGACUGACUAAUGCUCCAUUACAGGGAUGUGUCCAUAGUAUUUCCAAGUUUUGUUGAAAAUAAGAUAAUGUUGCUCUGAAGAAAUUUAAUCUGCCUUCGGAAAGAUGUUUCCAAGGGAGUCAGUGAGUCCAAAAUGUGUUUACCUGUGGACAAUUUGGUGUGUUUAGCCGUUUUUAGUAGUCUAACUGCAAUGAUAAACCGCGCUGAAGCUUGGAAGAUCACCAGCAAAUGAAGCAUCAUGUGGAGAUUGAUUCCCAGAACAGCUUUUUCAGAAUUUUGCGAGGCUCCUAUAUAUUUCAUCGACCUAAUUACUGUAUGAAUAUCAACUACAAAUUACAAUUCAGAUAUUGUAUGUUCAGAUGAUUCGUAAUUUCAGUAUUAACCACUUUACUCGGCUGUUUGUCAUCGGUUAUCGGUUGGGUGGAUUAUUUGUCCUAAAAGGGUGCAUCCCUUGUUGAAAUGUUACAACUAUGAACCUAUAGCAUACCUUUCAAAAUUAUUUUAUUCAUUUUUAUUAGAAAUGAAGAUUAAAGCAUGAU